rnacentral:tRNA from 1 species
UGGGUUGUGGCUCAGUGGUAGAAUACACGCUCUGCACGUGUGAGGCACUGGGUUUGAUCCUCAGCACCACAU